AGAGUUUGAUCCUGGCUCAGGACGAACGCUGGCGGCGUGCUUAACACAUGCAAGUCAAGGAGAACGUAUUCUUCGGAAUACUAUUAAACUGGCGAACGGGUGAGUAACGCGUAGGCAACCUGCCCUAGAGACGGGGAUAACUUCGGGAAACCGGGGCUAAUACCGGAUAAUGCAGCGGAUCCUUCGGGAUACAGUUGUUAAAGCGGGCUUCGGCUCGCACUUUAGGAUGGGCCUGCGUCCGAUUAGCUUGUUGGUAGGGUAACGGCUUACCAAGGCGAUGAUCGGUAGCUGGUCUGAGAGGAUGAUCAGCCACACUGGGAUUGAGAUACGGCCCAGACUCCUACGGGAGGCAGCAGUGGGGAAUUUUGCGCAAUGGGGGAAACCCUGACGCAGCAACGCCGCGUGACCGAUGAAGCUUUUCGGAGUGUAAAGGUCUGUCGUAAGGGAAGAAAAGUUUGGAUGUAAAUAAUGUUCGAACCUGACGGUACCUUACAAGAAAGCACCGGCUAACUUAGUGCCAGCAGCCGCGGUAAUACUAGGGGUGCGAGCGUUGUCCGGAAUCACUGGGCGUAAAGGGUCCGUAGGCGUCCCAAUAAGUCAUUUGUUAAAUUCACCGGCUUAACCGGUGGCCUGCAUUUGAAACUGUUGGGAUAGAGUAUAGGAGAGGAAAGUGGAAUUCCUGGUGUAGCGGUGACAUGCGUAGAUAUCAGGAGGAACACCAAUGGCGAAGGCAGCUUUCUGGCUCGAUACUGACGCUGAGGGACGAAAGCGUGGGGAGCGAACAGGAUUAGAUACCCUGGUAGUCCACGCCGUAAACGAUGAGUACUUGGUGGUGGGGGAUUCGACCCCUUCACUGUCGGAGCUAACGCGUUAAGUACUCCGCCUGGGAACUACGACCGCAAGGUUGAAACUCAAAGGAAUUGACGGGGACCCGCACAAGCGGU
rnacentral:rRNA from 1 species